rnacentral:rRNA from 1 species
AUUGAACGCUGGCGGAAUGCUUUACACAUGCAAGUCGAACGGCAGCACGGGGGCAACCCUGGUGGCGAGUGGCGAACGGGUGAGUAAUACAUCGGAACGUGCCCAGUCGUGGGGGAUAACGUAGCGAAAGUUACGCUAAUACCGCAUACGAUCUACGGAUGAAAGCGGGGGACCGUAAGGCCUCGCGCGAUUGGAGCGGCCGAUGUCAGAUUAGGUAGUUGGUGAGGUAAAGGCUCACCAAGCCGACGAUCUGUAGCUGGUCUGAGAGGACGACCAGCCACACUGGGACUGAGACACGGCCCAGACUCCUACGGGAGGCAGCAGUGGGGAAUUUUGGACAAUGGGCGCAAGCCUGAUCCAGCCAUUCCGCGUGCAGGACGAAGGCCUUCGGGUUGUAAACUGCUUUUGUACGGAACGAAAAGGCUCUGGUUAAUACCUGGGGCUCAUGACGGUACCGUAAGAAUAAGCACCGGCUAACAACGUGCCAGCAGCCGCCGUAACAC